rnacentral:rRNA from 1 species
GGCCACAGCCACAUCAUCCUGCAGCCCAAGACCAGUUACUCACUAAAGCGAAGCAAGGCUAAGCCUGAUCAUUACCUGGAUGGUAGACCUCAUGUGAAAAAUAGGUUGCUGUUGAAG